rnacentral:rRNA from 1 species
UACGGAGGGUGCAAGCGUUAAUCGGAAUUACUGGGCGUAAAGCGUGCGCAGGCGGUUUGUUAAGUCCGUUGUGAAAGCCCCGAGCUCAACUUGGGAGUUGCAGUGGAUACUGGCAGGCUGGAGUACGGUAGAGGAAGGUGGAAUUCCCGGUGUAGCAGUGAAAUGCGUAGAUAUCGGGAGGAACACCAGUGGCGAAGGCGGCCUUCUGGACCAGUACUGACGCUCAUGCACGAAAGCGUGGGGAGCAAACAGG